UCCCCUUUUGUCCUCAGGAUCUCGUGGCUCCACUGGGGUCCCAGGACAGCAAGAUAGGGACAGCUCAGCCCUGGAGUCAGAGGAGGGCACACAUCCUGGUUCCCCUCUUCUGACUGUAUGGCUGGGCAAGCCCCUUAAUCUCUCAGAGCCUUGAAUCUUCUCAUCUGCAAAAUGGGAAUGAUGAGCCUUGCUUUAGGGGUUAUUGUAAAGAUUAAACCCAAUAGCACUUGUAAAGCCUUUAGGAGCCUCCUGGCACACGGUGGGCUCUGGGAUCUGGCUGUCCCUGUCCGUCCUCCCCCAGAGAGAGCAGGAUCUGGCUCCAAACUUCGCCACUAGGCUCUACUGCCUCCUGCAGGGAGGAGGUUGGACAUUCAUUGGGUUUGAGGGCCUUCCAGUCAAUUCCUCCAAAUAACUGAGCUGGCAAUGGGCAACAGCGCUUAGCCUGAAAUAAAUCAGUGGGAGCUUUUUGAAACCCUAGUGCAGUCUGGCUGAGGUUUUUAAGAACUCAAGACUUCGGAGGCCAAGGGUUCUGGGUCUGAAGCCCAGCUUUGCCCCUUACUGGCUAUGUGACUUUGGGAGGGUGGCUGAAGCUCUCUGAGCCUCAGUUUCCUUAUCUGUAAAGCGGGGACGGCAGCCGACCCACCCUCCCCAAUGAGGUGAGAAUGGUUGACCCGCGGCGCCCCCUGCCGGUGGGAUCAGCGUCGCAGCCCGCGGUCAGGGCGACCAGCCGAGCCUGGCGCCCGAGCGCUCCUGCUGGCGGGGCCGGCCCCACCCCGCCCCACCCCGACCCUCCCCUCACCCGCGCCCGCCCCUCGACCCGGCAGGAUCGUGCAGAUGCUGCUGCCGGUGACCAGCCGCACGCGCAUACGCCGUAGCGGCGUCAGUCCACUGCACCUGGCGGCUGAGCGCAACCACGACGCGGUGCUGGAGGCGCUGCUGAGCGCGCGCUUCGACGUGAACACGCCGCUGGCGCCCGAGCGCGCGCGCCUCUACGAAGACCGGCGCAGCUCCGCGCUGUACUUCGCGGUGGUCAACAACAACGUGUAUGCCACCGAGCUGCUGCUGGAACACGGCGCCGACCCCAACCGCGACGUCAUCAGCCCCUUGCUCGUGGCCAUUCGCCACGGCUGCCUGCGCACAAUGCAGCUGCUGCUGGACCACGGCGCGAACAUCGACGCCUAUAUCGCCACGCACCCCACCGCCUUCCCCGCCACCAUUAUGUUCGCCAUGAAGUGCCUGUCGCUGCUCAAGUUCCUCAUGGACCUGGGCUGCGACGGCGAGCCCUGCUUCUCAUGCCUCUACGGCAACGGCCCGCACCCGCCGGCCCCGCAGCCCUCCAGCAGGUUCAACGACGCGCCCGCGGCCGACAAGGAGCCCAGCGUGGUGCAGUUCUGUGAGUUCGUAUCUGCCCCGGAGGUGAGCCGCUGGGCAGGGCCCAUCAUUGAUGUCCUCCUGGACUACGUGGGCAACGUGCAGCUCUGCUCGCGGCUGAAGGAGCACAUCGACAGCUUUGAGGACUGGGCCGUCAUCAAGGAGAAGGCAGAACCUCCAAGACCUCUGGCUCACCUUUGCCGGCUGCGGGUUCGAAAGGCCAUUGGGAAAUACCGUAUAAAACUCCUAGACACCUUGCCGCUCCCGGGCAGGCUCAUUAGAUACCUGAAAUACGAGAACACCCAGUAACUGGGGCCACGGGGAGAGAGGAGUAGCCCCUCAGACUCUUCUUACUAAGUCUCGGGACGUCGGUGUCCCCAACUCCAAGGGGACCUGGUGACAGAUGAGGCUGCAGGCUGCCUCCCUCUCAGCCUAGACAGCUACCAAGAUCUCACUGGGUCUCAGGGCCAGAACUUUGGCCAGAGCAGAGAACAGAAUGUGUCAAGGAGAAGAAUCAUUUGUUUACAAACUGAUGAGCAGAUCCCAGACCUUCUCUACCUUCAGGAAUGGCAGAAACCUCUAUUCCUGGGGCCAGGGCAGAGCUUGUUCUGGGGAAGGUGGGCUCAGAGCCUUCCCUCCACUUGCUCUGGAAAACUCACCACUUGACUUCAGAGCUUUCUCCCCAAGACUAAGAUGAAGACGUGGCCCAAGGUAGGGGGUAGGGGGAGCCUGGGUCUUGGAGGGUUUUGUUAAGUAUUAAUACAAUAAAUGUUACACACGUG
rnacentral:sRNA from 1 species